UACGGAGGGGGCUAGCGUUAUUCGGAAUUACUGGGCGUAAAGCGCACGUGGGCGGACUGGAAAGUUGGGGGUGAAAGCCCAGGGCUCAACCCUGGAACUGCCUUCAAAACUCCCAGUCUUGAGGUCGAGAGAGGUGAGUGGAAUUCCGAGUGUAGAGGUGAAAUUCGUAGAUAUUCGGAGGAACACCAGUGGCGAAGGCGGCUCACUGGCUCGAUACUGACGCUGAGGUGCGAAAGCGUGGGGAGCAAACAGG
rnacentral:rRNA from 1 species